ACUUAUAUUUUAUAACAACCAUAGGCGCCGAGUUUUGAAAUGUAGUGCAGAGGCGGAGCCUAUUAUGACGUAACACAAUCGUGACGUCAUAACACUUCGGCGUUUCAUUGACGUUAUUUUACGCUUGCUCAACGCUGGACGUCAGUGUUGCUCGUUGAUCCUUUCCCCGUGCGUAUUUGCAAGAUUGACCGAUAUAUAAAUCAUUCGUUCGAGGCGACGUGCUUUCUACUUUACCUUUACGUGCGUCAUAGUUUAACGUCCAUGUGCGUCGUAGUUUAACGUCCACGUGCGUCGUAGUUUAACGUCCACUUGC